AGAGUUUGAUCCUGGCUCAGAACGAACGCUGGCGGCAUGCCUAACACAUGCAAGUCGAACGAGACCUUCGGGUCUAGUGGCGCACGGGUGCGUAACGCGUGGGAAUCUGCCCUUGGGUUCGGAAUAACAGUUAGAAAUGACUGCUAAUACCGGAUGAUGACUUCGGUCCAAAGAUUUAUCGCCCAGGGAUGAGCCCGCGUAGGAUUAGCUUGUUGGUGAGGUAAAAGCUCACCAAGGCGACGAUCCUUAGCUGGUCUGAGAGGAUGAUCAGCCACACUGGGACUGAGACACGGCCCAGACUCCUACGGGAGGCAGCAGUGGGGAAUAUUGGACAAUGGGCGAAAGCCUGAUCCAGCAACGCCGCGUGGGGGAUGAAUGGCUUCGGCCCGUAAACCCCUGUCAUUUGCGAACAAGUUGGUUCAAUUAAUAACUGAACCAUUGAUAGUAGCGAAAGAGGAAGGGACGGCUAACUCUGUGCCAGCAGCCGCGGUAAUACAGAGGUCCCAAGCGUUGUUCGGAUUCACUGGGCGUAAAGGGUGCGUAGGUGGUGAGGUAAGUCGGAUGUGAAAUCUCCGAGCUCAACUCGGAAAUGGCAUUGGAAACUACCUUGCUAGAGGGUUGGAGGGGGGACUGGAAUACUUGGUGUAGCAGUGAAAUGCGUAGAUAUCAAGUGGAA
rnacentral:rRNA from 1 species